GUUUGGGGCGUGCGAUCGAGAACAGGGACCAAGGAAGAGCCAAAACCCUAACAUCCUAAAAUCAGCAAAUUGAGAAGGAAAUCAAAGGCUAAUCGAUUGCAUGUGAUCAAUUCUUCGUUCAUCUAAGGGUUUUCCAACAUGGGGAAUCAUGUCAAUAGGGGCACAAAUAUGGAAGCGGCACGAGUCGAAGGUAAACACGGAAGCUACGUGUAAAUUCGGACGCACAAGGAAUGAGAAUGUCGGAUUCUUAUGAAGUUGAAGCCGAACUCGGAAUAAGAGACUUAGAGAAAAUAGUCGAAUGAAUCGAAGCUAUAUUGUUGAAUAUUAUACGAAAGUUAAUUGUGUGAGAAUAGUGUUGUGUGAGGUUGUCAAUGACUAAUGAUUAAGUUGUAUGUGAUGUUCCCUGGUACCACACGGAUUUCUUCUUCUACUAACGAAGAUGAGCGGACGAAGAUCGAGUCAAGAGCAAGGAUUGUACGGGAAGGAUCGGUCACAUAGUUUAACAAAUGUAGGUUCAAAAGUAUUAAUAUAUUGGAACGUGGUAAAUCCUUUUUAAUGAGUGUAUGACAUUUGGUAUUCGAACUUUCCUGUAAGUACUAUGUCUAUUAAAGAACGAAAUUUUGG
rnacentral:lncRNA from 1 species